GGUGAACGCUGGCGGUAGGCCUAACACAUGCAAGUCGAACGGCAGCACAGGAGAGCUUGCUCUCUGGGUGGCGAGUGGCGGACGGGUGAGGAAUACAUCGGAAUCUACUUUUUCGUGGGGGAUAACGUAGGGAAACUUACGCUAAUACCGCAUACGACCUACGGGUGAAAGCAGGGGAUCUUCGGACCUUGCGCGAUUGAAUGAGCCGAUGUCGGAUUAGCUAGUUGGCGGGGUAAAGGCCCACCAAGGCGACGAUCCGUAGCUGGUCUGAUAGGAUGAUCAGCCACACUGGAACUGAGACACGGUCCAGACUCCUACGGGAGGCAGCAGUGGGGAAUAUUGGACAAUGGGCGCAAGCCUGAUCCAGCCAUACCGCGUGGGUGAAGAAGGCCUUCGGGUUGUAAAGCCCUUUUGUUGGGAAAGAAAUCCAGCUGGUUAAUACCCGGUUGGGAUGACGGUACCCAAAGAAUAAGCACCGGCUGACUUCGUGCCAGCCGCCGCAGUAA
rnacentral:rRNA from 1 species